UGACCGCCUAGAUAUAGGCUAAGGCUACACGGACGGCCGGGCCAAAUGCCGA
ncrna:unclassified sequences Streptococcus sRNA SpF59 (ldcC RNA)